AGGGGUGUGUUCCGUGCGGCAUUGCUGUGGGAGGCGGCGGGACCCUGUGCUGGCCCUGAGGGCUGGCUUGCAUUCAGGUCCUUUGCUCCACUGCCCGGAUCGCUGGGCUCCGAGAGCAUCCCACACGAGGGAUUUGUCUAGAUGAGGCCUGCACCUGGCUUGUCCAGGCCCCACAGCGCCCUUGCGCCAGCCUGAGUUUGUCCAUGAAGGUUACAUCAGGUCUUCGACCUUCGUCUUGCGUGGGGAGGGAGGGCGGUGGCUGGGGCCGCAUCGGGCAGAGGCAAGGCACAGCCGCGGCCUCCAAGCUGGUGAGUCAGGGUUCUGUGCUGCUUGGAAGCCAAGUGUUGUACAAACACCAGGCGUGUUGCUUCUGGAAUGUUCCCUGUGUGGCGAUAAAGCCAGUGACGGCAGCCACGGUCAUUGCUCCGAGACGCUGGUGGGUGCUGGCUGCCGCCCAGGCCUUGUCUGCCUGCAGCCCCUGGCAGCCCCUCCAGCCUGGUGGGUUCUCAGCUGCCGCCGUGACCAGGGUUUUCCAGGGUCGCUACUAUCAGCGAGUGCUUCCAGGAUGCCGGGGUGGCCGCUGGCGGGCGGGGAGGCAGGAUGCUGGUCUUGCCUCUUUCCCCUUUGAAGUUGCUGUCCUGGGGCCUCCAUGCCAGGUCCUGGCUCCUGGCGCUGAGACCCUCGGGUCUGUACGGAAAGCUCUGUUUUUUUAAAGUCAAACAGACCCAAUUAAAGUGUUUUUUCCAGAGAUGUUAAAAUAAUGUGGGCCCGGAUGAUAAUGACAGGCCUCUUCCUGGAUUGUUUCAGUCUUCCUGAAGAUUAAGGAGUUUUCAUUUAAAAAUUUUUUGUGGGGUAUUACUUAGAGAAAACCGGUGAUGACAUGUUUUCUGAUUCCAAAUACUUCUUCCCAGUGACACAGAUGCAGAGGCGCCUGGGGCCUCAGAGUCCCUGCAAGGCCGUGGAGCAGAGGCCUCAUCUCCCGGCCACUUAGGACAAAAGGCCCUGGAGCCCUGAGUGGGGAAACUGAGGCCUGAGAGGAGAGAGCCUCCCUCCCCAGCCAGCCAGGUGAUGGGCGCUGACAUUCAGGAGCACGGAGCUUCCGGCUCUCCCCUCCAUGCUCAAGGGCCUGGCUCCCGCUGCCUGAAGCCUGUCCCUGGCAGGGCCCACGAGCUCUGUCUCGUUUGUGCGACAGCCAUGAUCCCUGCUCCAGCCUGCCCCCUCGGAGCUCAGCCACGGGGGCAUAGGACAGCCACAGGAAGCCCACAGGACAAGCCCAGCCAGACUGACCGUCAGGGCACUGCUGAAAGUGCCACCAGGAGAAGAAUGUGAGCGCCAUCCCAGCCCGGCGGUCAGUAACAUUCCAGGAGCUUUGGAGAGCGUCUCCGUUGCCAGUCAAGAGCCCGGCUCCACGCACCUCAGUCCGGAAGGACUGCUCAGCCUUGGGCUAAAAAAGGGAAAAAUCACAAGCAGACAGCGUCCGCAGCCGCGUCUCCGGGCCACGGAAGGCAGCAAGGCAGCUGUGAAUGGGAAGGGCAGAGGCGGCCAGAAGCUCAUGCCUUCACUGAUGCUGGUCCUGGCUGUGCUUUCCAGAAAUUAUCCCACUCAGCUCCCUGCGUCCCACGGAUCAGGUGUCCUUAGCCUGCUGUGCGGGGGUGGGGGAGACUGAGACACAGAAGGCCAGGCUCCCCAGGCACCGAGCACGGCCCACGACCCAGAGCCGUGGAGUCACCCAGGCUGCACAGCUGGCGAGAGCAGCCGCAGAUGUGGCGGAGCCUCUGGAUUCAAGGCCAGAGUUCCUGCUGCACCCCCGACCCUGGGCCUGCCAUGGAAGGUGUCAGGAGUCGUGCUCCCUGGGCUCCUCUUCCCCACAAAGCCCCUCACGUAUGCGUGCGUCUGUGUGUGCACUUUUCCCUGCCUGAGCACUGAGCACUGAGCACGAGCACGCCUCCGCACAGGCUCUGCUGCCACCACCUCAUGGUCUCCCAGCGGCUGAUAGGAGGAGGGCAGAGGCCACCGUCUCUGGCCCAGCAGGAUGAGGGCCCCAUGACCCCUGAGGGGUGAGCACAGCGGGGUCUGUGUGCCUCGUGGCCCCUGGGGAAUGGGCAGAGCAGGGUCUGUGUACAGGGUUCCUUGCUGGGCACGUGGCCAGCACUGCAGGAGCCGGCAUUGUGGCAGCCCGGACGCCCUGACCCCGGGUAGAUGUUUUUGGUGCAGCCCUGCCCAUGUGGCCUUAGGGUAACCCGUGUGACCACAGCCCACGGCAGGCACAAGGGAGGCCACUUCCAGAGCUAGGGGGUCAGACUGUGGCUUCUGGCACCUGGAGGAGACUUGGCAGCCUGGGGGUUCCACGUGGUCAGGGGCUGAGGCCUCCCCACAGCCCCGUGAGCCCCGUCCUGGACAUGGGACUGCCUGUGGAUGCCACCUGAGCCACAGCCACCAGCCACGCUGCCCCAGAAAUGGGGGCGCUAACACGUGGAGGCCUUUUUAAACUGCUAAGUUUUGGGGUUAUUUGUUACACGGCUAUAGAUGUCUGAUAUGCCGUGGGGUGUGCCCUGAAUGUGGGGUCUGGUUGGCCCUAGGUUAGUGUCAAGCUUUGGGCAGCCAGGGCACCAAAGCCCCCACCCCUGCCGACUGUGGCCGUGCACCUGCAGGCCCGGUUCCACUGCUAUGUGGGCCUCGCCUCUGGACACGGGCCCCAGGACCCAGCCACUGAGGCUGGCCUGGCUGUGUGUCCUCCCACUCACUCCCAUUCAGUGCUGCCAGGCGCCGUGCCGUCUGCUGCCCACCAGGACCCGGCUCCUGGCAGGCCUGAGCCCCCUCCCCAUCUCCCUUCCCCCUCCCUGAUCGCCCCUGGGCCCCUGGCCCAGCCUGCUGAGGGUGACUUCUUCACACCCAGACUCUGGGCUCCGGUUCCUCACCCUGUCCCUGAGACUUCCUCCUGGUCACACCUUCCUUCCGGCAGUGCUCCCAACACACAUGGCCAUUCCUGGGGAGUCUUCCAGGCAGCCCUGCCCACCGUCUCCACCCACCUCCUUCCCACCUGCUCACCGCAAGGUCCUGUUCCCAGCAUACGGCCCUGCUGCUGGCCUGGGAGGAGACCUGACGCCUCCAGGGCCACUGUCAGCCUCCCCGGGACACCCUGCUGCCGGGACACACUGCUGCUGGCCUGCCUUUGGAGUCCACCCUCGUCCUGUCCCCACCUGCCCCAUCCCCACCCGUCCUGUCCCCACCUGCACCAUCCCCCCACCUGUCCUGAUUCUGCUGAGCCUGUCAGGUGACAAACCCUGGCCGUCUCCUCCAUGGGGCACCUGGUGAAGCUGAGGGAGGACUCUGGGGCUGGGACUCAGGUUCCCCUCCUAGGGGCCAUGAACUGGUCUGGAUGUUACAGUCAUGGGGCUGCUGAGGGAGGACAGGUCGAGGGCACCAUCUAGGGUGAGUCUUGGUCGGCUGGCAGAGGGCUGGGCUGACCCAGGGAGCCCUGUCCCUCCCUGAGGGCUCGGCCUGCCCAGUACCGUGGCCCGUGGCCCGGGUUUGGCCCGUCCACCAGAUCCAGUCCUUUGGCACCCGUGUCCCUAGGGCCGUGGGCUGUGAGGAGGUGUGAAGGGGAAGGAAGGACAUU